AAGACCUUGCGCUGAUUGAGCGGCCGAUAUCAGAUUAGCUAGUUGGUGGGGUAAAAGCUCACCAAGGCGACGAUCUGUAGCGGGUCUGAGAGGAUGAUCCGCCACACUGGAACUGAGACACGGUCCAGACUCCUACGGGAGGCAGCAGUGGGGAAUUUUGGACAAUGGGGGCAACCCUGAUCCAGCCAUGCCGCGUGAGUGAAGAAGGCCUUCGGGUUGUAAAGCUCUUUCAGCCGGGAAGAAAACGUAUGGGUUAAUACCCUGUGCGGAUGACGGUACCGGAAUAAGAAGCACCGGCUAACUACGUGCCAGCAGCCGCGGUAAUACGUAGGGUGCGAGCGUUAAUCGGAAUUACUGGGCGUAAAGCGUGCGCAGGCGGUUUUGUAAGACAGGCGUGAAAUCCCCGGGCUUAACCUGGGAACU
rnacentral:rRNA from 1 species